CUUGGAUCCUGGUCCAAUUCUUGGUUCUGCUCAGUUGACUCAGGUAUGACAGAAGGGACAUCCAAGGAAUUGUUUUCGGGGACAGAAAGAGUAGUAUCUGUUUGAGGAGGCAGUGAUGAACUCAAAGGAGAAGUAGUGCUGAUUUCGGUUUCCCAGAAUUGGAAUUCAUCUGUGGACCAGUUCUCCCCCUGAAUUGCAAUUUUGGGGUAGAAGGGUUGAUUUUCGAAGAAAGUGACAUCCAUGGAAAUGUAGAAUUUCUUGGUUGUUGGAGAGUAGCACUUGUAUCCUUUUUGGUUUGGUGAGUACCCGAGAAAGAUGCAUUUAGUGGCUGUCGGAUCAAGUUUACUACGUAGGGACUUAUGGAUGUGAACGAAAGCAGUACAACCAAAGACUUUGAUUGGGAUAGACGAGAUUAUUCGAGCGGAUGGAUAUGCAGCGAGGAGGAUUUGACACGGGGUUUUAAAUUGAAGAAUCCUAGAAGGCAUUCGGUUGAUCAAGUAGGUUGCUGUGAGUACAACUUCACCCCAUAAUUGUUUAGGCACGUUUGAAGCUAUCAUGAGGGAUCGUGCAACCUCCAUCAAAUGUCUAUUUUUCCUUUCUGCAACUCCAUUUUGCUGUGGAGUAUCAAUGCACGAGCUUUGAUGUACGAUGCCAUUCUCCAGAAGAUAUGACCCAAGAGUGUUGUGAUAGUAUUCUCGAGCAUUAUCUGUCCGAAGGACUUGAAUUUUUGCCUGAAACUGCGUCUGAACCAUGUUGUUGAAGUUUUCAAAUAUUUCCCUCACUUAUGAUUUCUUCUUCAUAAGGAAUACCCAAGUCACUCGAGUGUGGUCAUCAACAAAGGUGACAAACCAUCUAGAACCUGUAAUGUUGUUGAUUCUAGAGGCCCCCCAAACAUCACUGUGAAUCAAGGAAAAAGGAUGAGAUGGUUUGUAUGGUUGAAUGGAAUAGGAGUUGCGAGUAUGUUUGGACAAUUGACAUAUUUCGCAUUGAAAA